AGCGAAUAGAUACCCGGGUAGUCCACGCCCUAAACGAUGCAUAUUUGGUGUGGGCAGUUCAUUCUGUCCGUGCCGGAGCUAACGCGUUAAAUAUGCCGCCUGGGGAGUACAGUCGCAAGGCUGAAACUCAAAGGAAUUGACGGGGGCCCGCACAAGCGGUGGAGCAUGUGGUUCAAUUCGACGCAACGCGAAGAACCUUACCUGGGCUCGAACGGCUGGUUAACGGCGGUGGAAACAUCGCUACUCCGCAAGGAGGUCCAGUCGAGGUGCUGCAUGGCUGUCGUCAGCUCGUGUCGUGAGAUGUUGGGUUAAGUCCCGCAACGAGCGCAACCCUUGUCCUGUGUUGCCAUGUCGAAAGACGGAACUCGCAGGAGACCGCCAGGGAUAACCUGGAGGAAGGUGGGGAUGACGUCAAGUCCUCAUGGCCUUUAUGUCCAGGGCUACACACGUGCUACAAUGGACGGUACAAAGCGCAGCGAACUCGCGAGA
rnacentral:rRNA from 1 species